rnacentral:tRNA from 1 species
GGCCAGUUAGCUUAGCUGGUUAGAGUGGGGUGCUAAUAACGCCGAGGUUGUGGGUUCCGUCCCCGUACGGGCCA